rnacentral:ncRNA from 1 species
ACCUUCAAGGAGCGUUGCAAGGAAUACUGAGAACCAGUGUUUCCCCAGGCUUGAAGGGAGUGAACUCCUAGGUAACCCCAGAGUUUGCUAAUUGCAACUGCGCUCGCUAACC